GACGAACGCUGGCGGCGUGCCUAACACAUGCAAGUCGAGCGAGGAACUUCGGUUCCUAGCGGCGGACGGGUGAGUAACACGUGGGUAACCUGGCUCAUAGAGGGGGACAGCCUCCCGAAAGGGAGAUUAAUACCGCAUAAGAAGCGAAAGUCGCAUGGCUUUAGCUUUAAAGGAGUAAUCCGCUAUGAGAUGGGCCCGCGGCGCAUUAGCUAGUUGGUGAGGUAACGGCCCACCAAGGGGACGCUGCGUAGCCGACCUGAGAGGGUGAUCGGCCACAUUGGAACUGAGACACGGUCCAGACUCCUACGGGAGGCAGCAGUGGGGAAUAUUGCACAAUGGGCGAAAGCCUGAUGCAGCAACGCCGCGUGAGUGAUGACGGCCUUCGGGUUGUAAAGCUCUGUCUUUGGGGACGAUAAUGACGGUACCCAAGGAGGAAGCCACGGCUAACUACGUGCCAGCAGCCGCCGUAAUAC
rnacentral:rRNA from 1 species